rnacentral:misc_RNA from 1 species
UGAUUCAUUCCUAUUCUGUAGUUUGAAAAAUACGUUUUUUGUGGUUCGAAUUUUUGAAGUGUCGAGGAAAAAUGGAAGAGGCUGGUGAUCGUGAUAAUCAGAAUUUUCUGACAUCGUAACUCUUUCAUUGCGAGAAACGUCCCUUGAUUGAUUCAUUUAUUUUCUGUAGUUUGAAGGAAAAAGUGUUUUGUGGUUUAGUUUGAAGUGUCGGGAAAAAUGGAAGAAACUGGUGACCGUUUUGUGAUCGUGAUAAUCAGAAUUUACUGACCGCGUGACUCAUUUCAUUGCGACAAACGUCCUUUGAAUAUAUAUGUUUUGAUUCACCUUUAUUCUGUAGUUUGAAGGAGAAAGUGUUUUGUGAUUUGAAGGUUUGAAGUGUCGGCAAAAAUGGAAGAAACUGGUGAUCGUUUUGUGAUCGUGAUAAUAAGAAUUUUCUGACAGCGUGACUCAUUUCAUUGCGAGAAAAGUUCCUUUGAAUAUAUGUUUUCAGAGGUAUUGAUCUAUAUUUGAAAAUAUUGUGUAUAAUGGCUGAUUCACGUCUGAGAACCAUCAAAAUCAAAACCGGCGUGGUAAAAAGAUUGGCAAAAGAAAAAACUGUAUAUGAACUAGAAGCAGAUCAACAAAAAAACCGCAUUGAAAAACUGAAAGGUCAGGGCAAAGAUGAAUAUGAAAUAAAAAAGCAAGAAGAAGUUCUGAAUGAAUGCCAAAUGAUGGUUCCUGAUUGUCAACGUAGACUUGCAGUUGCUUUUGAAGAAUUGAAACAAAUCCUUGAAACUGAACAGGACUUAAAAGAGGAUGAAUCCUACUUAACUGCACAGAAAGUUUUGGAAGAAGCCAAGUUACAGUUGCCUAAGGCCAGUGAACUGCAUAUGUGUUAAUUUUGAAGUGUAUCUUUCAGUAAAGACAAAUACUAAAUUUUUAUAAUGAACUUUUUAAAAUAUCAAAACUUUUCUAAUCGUAGUGUUAAUCUUGAGGUGUCGGUUAUAACGGAUCCUAGGACUAAUAUUUUGCAAACGCUGUACAGUCAGUCCAAUGAUGAGCUGUGGAUAGAUUCAUGGCUGCAGCAAAAUAAUAUCUAUCACCCUAUUCCUAAAAUAAAGAUAAACAAAGCUGCCAAUGUGAUCUCUAUCAGUGAUGCCCAAUCUUCUCUCAAAGAAUGCCUCAUGCUCAUGGAGAAACUUA